UUUGACCGAGCCCAACCACAGCGGGCGCUCCGCGCUCCGGCCUCGACCGUAGGUGGCGAUCAGGGCCUGCGCCUC
rnacentral:antisense_RNA from 1 species